rfam:Eucalyptus grandis cultivar BRASTZ1 unplaced genomic scaffold scaffold_5, whole genome shotgun sequence.
GAGCGAAGGUCCCAGCGGAGAGGCGGGAGCUCUGUGAACGAGGCCUCUCUAACGAUUGAACAGAGAUCUCCUUCGCGAAAUUGGUCCGCCGAAUUGUAGGAUGCCUGGAAUUCUCCCCAUUUCCGGGCAUCUGGAAUCCUCGGCCACAUCCAU